UAAGAAGAAUAGUUAACAUGCUUGCUUGUUAUUGACCAGUGGAGUUUCACCACGAAAUAGUCUUGAAGUCGUAACCCCUGAAGUUCUUGGUGAGAGUGACCAUGGAAACUGCAUCACGUCCUUACAGCUGCACCCAAAAGGCUGGGCCACUCUUCUUCGGUGCUCAAGCAACAGUGAUGAUGAGGAGUGUACUUGUGUCUAUGAAUUCCAAGAAGGAGCUCCAGUGCGACCUGUCUCACCUCGCUGUUCUCUACGACUGACUCAUUACAUUGAAGAAGCCAAUGUAGGCAGGGGUUACAUCAAAGAACUUUGCUUCAGCCCCGAUGGACGAAUGAUUUCUUCCCCACAUGGCUAUGGGAUUCGCUUGUUGGGAUUUGACAAACAGUGCAGUGAACUUGUUGACUGCUUGCCCAAAGAAGCCAGUCCCCUGCGGGUGAUCCGUUCUCUGUACUCUCAUAAUGAUGUGGUACUGACAACAAAGUUCUCUCC
rnacentral:sRNA from 1 species